rnacentral:rRNA from 1 species
AACGAACGCUGGCGGCGCGCCUAAUACAUGCAAGUCGAACGAGAAUGUGUAGCAAUACACAUGUACAGUGGCGAACGGGUGAGGAAUACAUAGGUAACCUACCCUCGAGUGGGGAAUAACUAGCCGAAAGGUUAGCUAAUACCGCGUACGCUCCCCGGACUACGGUUCGGGGAGGAAAGCGAUACCGUGGGUAUCGCGCUCUUGGAUGGGCUUAUGUCCUAUCAGCUUGUUGGUGAGGUAAUGGCUCACCAAGGCUUCGACGGGUAGCUGGUCUGAGAGGACGAUCAGCCACACUGGCACUGCGACACGGGCCAGACUCCUACGGGAGGCAGCAGUAAGGAAUAUUGCGCAAUGGGCGACAGCCUGACGCAGCGACGCCGCGUGGGGGACGAAGGUCUUCGGAUUGUAAACCCCUUUCGGGAGGGAAGAUGGGAUGGGUAACCAUUCGGACGGUACCUCCAGAAGCAGCCACGGCUAACUUCGUGCCAGCAGCCGCGGUAAUACGAAGGUGGCAAGCGUUGUUCGGAUUUACUGGGCGUACAGGGAGCGUAGGCGGUUCAGUAAGCCCUUUGUGAAAUCUCCAGGCUUAACCUGGAACAGCCGGAGGGGACUGCUGAGCUAGAGGAUGGGAGAGGAGCGCGGAAUUCCCGGUGUAGCGGUGAAAUGCGUAGAG